rnacentral:rRNA from 1 species
UGAGGAAUAUUGGGCAAUGCCCGCAAGGGUGACCCAGCAACGCCGCGUGGAGGAUGAAUGUCGUAAGAUUGUAAACUCCUGUUAGAGGGGAAGAAUAGUACCGGUUGGACCGGUAUAUGACUGUACCCUCAGAGAAAGCCCCGGCUAACUACGUGCCAGCAGCCGCGGUAAUACGUAGGGGGCAAGCGUUGUCCGGAUUUACUGGGUGUAAAGGGCGCGCAGGCGGGAUAAAAAGUCAGUGGUGAAAUCCUACAGCCUAACUGUAGAACUGCCUUUGAUACUUUUAGUCUUGAGUUCGGGAGAGAGAGACGGAAUUCCAGGUGUAGUGGUGAAAUACGUAGAUAUCUGGAAGAACACCAGUUGCGAAGGCGGUCUCUUGGUCCGACACUGACGCUGAGGCGCGAAAGCGUGGGGAGCAAACA